GACGAACGCUGGCGGCGUGCUUAACACAUGCAAGUCGAACGGAAAGGCCCUGCUUUUGUGGGGUGCUCGAGUGGCGAACGGGUGAGUAACACGUGAGUAACCUGCCCUUGACUCUGGGAUAACUUCAGGAAACUGGGGCUAAUACCGGAUAGGAGCUCCUGCUGCAUGGUGGGGGUUGGAAAGUUUCGGCGGUUGGGGAUGGACUCGCGGCUUAUCGGCUUGUUGGUGGGGUAGUGGCUUACCAAGGCUUUGACGGGUAGCCGGCCUGAGAGGGUGACCGGCCACAUUGGGACUGAGAUACGGCGCAGACUCCUACGGGAGGCAGCAGUGGGGAGUAUUGCACAGUGGGCGGAAGCCUGAUGCAGCGACGCCGGGUGCGGGAUGACGGCCUUCGGGUUGUAAACCGCUUUCGCCUGGGACGAAGCGUGAGUGACGGUAAUGGGUAAAGAAGCACCGGCUAACUACGUG
rnacentral:rRNA from 1 species